AUCCCAUGAUGAGGACACUUACGAAGUAAUUCUUAGAAUCUCUCCCACGCCUUGUACAAGGACUCAUGAUUCAAUUGUUGGAAAGUAGUGAUCUCAUUUCGCAACUU
rfam:Gossypium raimondii Chr02_contig_966, whole genome shotgun sequence.